GGCCAUAUGUUGUAACACCGGUUCCCGUAAGAUUACGGAAAUUAAGCAACGUCGAGCCUGAUUAGUACCUAGGUGGUUCAUCGCUUAGGAAUACCAGAUGCUGUAAG